CAUAAUCAGCCUGCUGGCAGCCUUUCCAUGUCAGUAAGCAGAACAAUAUCAAAUGAAGUUGUUGCAGAGUGUAUUAAAACUUCAAACAACAGCGAACAGUAGCGUUAUUACUUUAUCUGACUGUGAAUAGCAUAGCUCUGCGAACAACAGAGAAGCUUCACAGUUGCACUGUUUAAGUGAAAAUCAGACUGCAGCUAUUGUUAGUAACAAUAUAUACACUAAAAGUGCUUCCACGAGUUCUGGAAAUGUUAGCAGUCUACAGAAUGCUGUUUUACAUCGAGAGGAAGUAAAUAAUAUUUUUUUGGACAAGAAUACGAAACGGAAUUUUUCUUUGAAAAAUCCCCUACCUUACAAAAUACAGUUGAGGAGUAUGUCACAGGAAUAACAAGUCUUUAAAGCAGCAUUUAUGUUAUAGAACAUAGCCUAAUAGAUCUGAUUUUUCUACACGUGUUGGUACUUUUCCAAGAAGACGUUGUACUGCAUAUUCAGUCGUUUUGAAAGUUAUGAAGCAAUUAGGCAUAUUGCUGAGAAAUAUCACAUUAAGAGAAGGUGAG